rnacentral:rRNA from 1 species
CACGUAGUUAGCCGUGGCUUUCUGGUUAGAUACCGUCAAGGGAUGAACGUUCUACUCUCAUCCUUGUUCUUCUCUAACAACAGAGUUUUACGAUCCGAAAACCUUCUUCACUCACGCGGCGUUGCUCGGUCAGACUUUCGUCCAUUGCCGAAGAUUCCCUACUGCUGCCUCCCGUAGGAGUCUGGGCCGUGUCUCAGUCCCAGUGUGGCCGAUCACCCUCUCAGGUCGGCUAUGCAUCGUUGCCUUGGUGAACCGUUACCUCACCAACUAGCUAAUGCACCGCGGGUCCAUCCAUCAGUGACGCAAAAGCGCCUUUCAACUUUCUUCCAUGACGGAAAUAGUGUUAUACGGUAUUAGCACCUGUUUCCAAGUGUUACUUCCCCUUAUGAUGGGACUACGGUUACCCACGGUCGUUACUCCACCCGUUCGCCUACUUCCCUUUUUCGUUUCGGGUUGGACGACAAGGUCCUUACCGGUAGAAAAA